UAUAUUUGUCACAAAUUCUUGCAAGAAUUUAUCGCAAAAAAAGUACUUUUAUAGUAAACAAAAUUUAACGGUUUUCAGAAAAGAAGUUUUAUUGGCGAAAUUUCUUUUAUAUAUUGCCUCGUUACCUCAUUAUAAUCCGCUUCCGGUUGAUUUCCAUUCAAUGAUUGUUUCACAAUGUCAAUACUUCAUUUUAAAUUGAUUGCUUUUUAUUUUGGCUGGAUCAUCAUUCUCCCCCUGCAAAAUUUGCAUAAAAGGGUAUGCCCUAAAAAAUAAUUUUACAAAAUAUAUGUAUGUAUGUAUGAUUUUGAUUAAAAUGGCUUUGUUAUUGUUGUUUUACUCAUAUUCGCUGUAAAUAUAAAGAUUGAUACGUUCUAA